rnacentral:rRNA from 1 species
GAUGAACGCUGGCGGCGCGCCUAAUACAUGCAAGCCGAGCGAACGGACGAGAAGCUUGCUUCUCUGAUGUUAGCGGCGGACGGGUGAGUAACACGUGGAUAACCUACCUAUAAGACUGGGAUAACUUCGGGAAACCGGAGCUAAUACCGGAUAAUAUUUUGAACCGCAUGGUUCAAAAGUGAAAGACGGUCUUGCUGUCACUUAUAGAUGGAUCCGCGCUGCAUUAGCUAGUUGGUAAGGUAACGGCUUACCAAGGCAACGAUGCAUAGCCGACCUGAGAGGGUGAUCGGCCACACUGGAACUGAGACACGGUCCAGACUCCUACGGGAGGCAGCAGUAGGGAAUCUUCCGCAAUGGGCGAAAGCCUGACGGAGCAACGCCGCGUGAGUGAUGAAGGUCUUCGGAUCGUAAAACUCUGUUAUUAGGGAAGAACAUAUGUGUAAGUAACUGUGCACAUCUUGACGGUACCUAAUCAGAAAGCCACGGCUAACUACGUG